rnacentral:misc_RNA from 1 species
UCUCCGUUGGUGAACCAGCGGAGGGAUCAUUACCGAGUUUACAACUCCCAAACCCCAUGUGAACCUUACCAAACGUUGCUUCGGCGGGAUGCCCCGGGCGCGGGCCGCAAGGCCUCAGCCCCGGAACCAGGCGCCCGCCGGAGGCCCAAACCAAACUCUUGUUUUUGUAGAAUCUUCUGAGUGGCCUUUUAGGCAAAAAAUGAAUCAAAACUUUCAACAACGGAUCUCUUGGUUCUGGCAUCGAUGACGAACGCAGC